GAUGAAGAACGUAGCGAAAUGCGAUAAGUAAUGUGAAUUGCAGAAUUCAGUGAAUCAUCGAAUCUUUGAACGCACAUUGCGCCCGCCAGUAUUCUGGCGGGCAUGCCUGUUCGAGCGUCAUUUCAACCAUCAAGCCCCCCGGCUUGUGUUGGGGACCUGCGGCUGCCGCAGGCCCUGAAAAGCAGUGGCGGGCUCGCUGUCACACCGAGCGUAGUAGCAUACAUCUCGCUCUGGGCGUGCUGCGGGUUCCGGCCGUUAAACCACCUUCAUAACCCAAGGUUGACCUCGGAUCAGGUAGGAAGACCUGCUGAACUUAAGCAUAUCAAUAAGCGGAGGA
rnacentral:misc_RNA from 1 species